GCAGAAUUUGACCUUAAAGCCUGUCACUGAUCCAAGGGAACUGAGCAGUGACCCAAUGUUAACUCCAAUUUUGAACAUUCUUCAGCCUUUCAAGCUCUGCUUUUUACCUAGGUUAAAAUAAAAACAAACAAGAAGCAAGCAAAAUAAUCAAACAAUGAAACAUCCUUUUUGUCUACCCAUGGGAGUCAGCAUAACUGGUUAAAAAAGUCAUCAAGAUAUAUUUCCUCAAUUUAAUCAGAGCUAGCAUACAGUAGAUGUUCAUUAGAUAUUAAGUAAUUACUGUUGUAAACAACUUCAGUUCUAUUGAUGACAAGUCACGACUGGAUGUGAACCUCAUUCACAAGUAUCUUUAUAACAUGGAAGAUAUUUUCAGGCAUGAGUACACUUCACCAAAGGAAAACGAUUAGGAAAUUGAGAUUUCCACUUCCACCAAGGAUGUAGAAAGCUGGAAAGAGUGUUGCCCUAACAACAAGAAAAAGUAAGAUAAACCACAAGGCAAACUUUCCUUACUCAUGAGAUGCUGAUGUUACAGAGCUGUGAAACAGCCUGAAAUCCCGGGAGGAACACACCCCUCCAAGGAGAGCGGGGAGAGGAAGCAGGCUUGGCUGUGGCAAAGAGCAUGCAGAUGGGGACGACGUCGCACAAGCGGAUGGGAUGACUGAGGCGACAGAAAGAGGAAAUGACAUUCCAUAUCCUGGAGAGAUGAGUAUCAGGCAUUGAUGCCCUACCCCCGCAUUCCUGCCGAUCAUUCCGGAUUUAAAGGACCUCCAAGUAUCACAUCAAUAGGUGUUUAAGAAAGGACCAUGGAAUCCAGGGGACUGAGGAAGGGAUUCCAGAUUCUGACAGAAGAAGGAAAUAAGAAGAUAAGGCUGAGAUACCUAGAUAUGCAUAACGCAGUCACUGAGGGGCAAUUGCAGGAUCAGGAAAAAAUACAUGACUUUGAACAGAGGAGGUAAUGCUUUAGGAAAAGAGAAAACAGAGAUAGAUCAGAUAGGUCAUGGGCCAGAUAGUCAGUCCCCACCCCUGCCACUGAAGCCCUGAUACACCCAAACAAACAAGCCAGGUCUACCCCUGUUUGUAGAGGUGCAGCAGUGGCAGCAGGAGCUGUGAGAAACUGUGUUGAAUGCCUCAUUUAGUGUGUGGCAGAAACCAGGGAAGGGAAGAGCACACUCAAGUCCAUCUCUCAGAAAAAUAAGUAAAGAUUUCAUAAGUAGAUUUAUGAAUGGAUAGAUAUUUGGAGUUUCUGGGUGAAUAAUUGCCAGACACUGGAAGUGUAAAUUUACGUAACAAUUUUGGAGUGCACCCAUCCUACGACCCAGCUAUUAUAUUCAUGUAUAUGCAGUAGAGCAGGUUUUCCAAGAGUGGAAUAUCAUCUACUGAUGGCUUAAAAAUUACUUUAGUGGAUGAGAACUAGCAUCUUUUAAAUUAAUUCAAGGAGCGUUGCUGUCAAGAGUUUAGCUAAACUACUCCAUGAUAUUGCUGCCUCAGCAUCCAUUUUGUGUGGCCAAGGGGCCUGCUGAAACCUCGAGCUGACACUAGUCCUUCCUGUAAGCAUAUGCCCUACACAACAGUCCACAGAGUCACAAACAAAUGUAGGUUCCUGAUAUGACUUCCCCAGCAGCCCUUGGGAGCAACAGCUUCUCUCCCUCCCGGGACCUUCCCUUCUGUGCUUCUUAGAGAAGACCCCCACAGGGCUUACCAAAACAUCACUCUUUUUGCUUUGAAUUGACCAAUCCGGCCUUAACCUAGGAACCCCAAAACACUUAAAUCGCAGACCCUAAUAAAGACACGUGCCUCAGGUGCUGCCACACUCUGGCUGCACCGUGCCUUGACCCCCCUCGUGGCCCCUGAGCAUGCCAUAUAGCUUCUCCAUGAGCUCUGAGUAAUAAGCUUCUCUAUUCCACUUUCCCUUGUGGUCUUUUGUCGAACUAUGGCUCACCAUCCCACACGCUGGGGACUUACUUGAAAAAAGUUAAUUUAACAAAGUCACAACAGUUGUCAUAUUGGUUUAAAUAGUUUAAUAAAAUACAGACAUUGUGAUAUUUCACCAUUCAUGUUUUAGUGUUCUCAAAAGCAAAUUCACUAGCUAUUUCAACCUCAAAAUGGGUUUAUUCAAGAACAGCCAAAUGAUUACAAUUUGGAAUGUGCGUGUAAGGAGAACCACAGAGAAAUCCAGAGAAAAAAAGAGAGAGGUCCUUCUAUAGAGGAAACAAGGAGAAUAAGGGACUGUUCCAAAGGAAAGUCCAUUGGAGGAGACUCACAGAUGGGAGUGGCAAUAGCUUCUCAUUGGCCGAGCUGUCUCCUUUCUUAUGGGCUGAUCUGUGGUGUUUCUCAUUAGCUGAGCUGUGUGUUUCUCAUUGGCUAGGCUGCAGAGUUUCUCCUUGGCUUGGCUGUUGCUGAGUGGAAGAGAAAUCUUCCUUCAUAGUAAAGUGGUUGUACUUCCUGUUGGAGAUGCAAGUGUGUCACUUCUUCUUUGGUGUAGUUAAAUGUGUGAUAGGAGUGAAAGCUCUCAUAACAGGGCCUCCUGUGUGUUUCUUAAGGUUUCAUUUAAAAUGAAUUUCCACAGUAUGCAACAGUGAAAAACAGAUGUGCCAUGUAAAACCCCAUUACCAUUGUCAUAAGCUAAUAUAAUUAGGAAUAACAUUUAAGAUCCUAGAAUGUUUCUCUCACAUCAGAAUUUCCACAUUCCUCCCACAACAUGUCUUUCAGCUUGUCAAAUCUGGAUUUAAAAAUGACAAGAGAUUUUCACAUAUUGAGGUAUAUGGGGUAACUUUUUGAGUUCAAAACUGAUUUGUUUGAACAAAAAGCCUGACUUAUAGCCUAUCAAACAUACGUUGUACACCUGCUUGACUAUGAAAGAAUGCACUCUAAAGAUAAGAAUGCACACUUCCCCACCUACGCCCUAUUGGGAUUAAUCCCUUUCCUGACAUGACCUCAUGUUGACCUGCUAAUUUGCAACUGAAUACCUCUUUGAAAUUUUGAUGAAAAUAUACCUGGGUGUGUUUAAUAUAUGUUUUUUGUUCUAAAAAGAUACAAGGGGCUGGCCCCGUGGCCAAGUGGUUAAGUUCUGACACUCUGCU
ensembl:lncRNA